rnacentral:lncRNA from 1 species
CAGAGUCUCAUCUAUGACACACCUGCAGCUGAAAAAGGGAUUUCUACUAGCACUGUGUUUCUGAAAGUAGCCAAUGAAACCUUGGCCUGCCUACCAAUGACCUACUAUCCAGAGCCUGAGUUCACUAGCUUCACAUCCACAAGGACAGGGGACGAUGUGCGCAUCACCAUACAGAAAAAGGCAGACAAACUGGAGAUGACCAUAGCAGAGUUGGAGGUGUGGGGCGUUGAGGAAGAAAAAAAACACCCCUGCAUCAUGGUAACCAAAGAAACCAGUAAUGAGACUGACUUUUUCAUCUGUGAGAUUCAAAGGACAGCCAACGCUAACUUUCAGCAGUUAAUGGUAAAUCUUUCAGCCACA